AUGGUUCUUCAGAGACUCUUCAGAUUCUUCUCUGUCAUUCAGUCAGCAGUCUAGGUCUAUUUGCAGAGGAACAUUGGUGCUACAGCAGUGGCAUUCAAUAAGGAACUUGAUCCUGUACAGAAACUCUUCGUGGACAAGAUUAGGGAAUACAAAUCUAAGAGACAUGCAUCUGGAGGACCUGCUGAUACUGGCCCAAAGUAUCAGCAAGACCUAGAAAGGGAGCUGUUUAAGCUUAAGCAAAUGUAUAGUAAAGGAGACAUGAAUACGUUCCCUAACUUCAAAUUUGAAGAGCCCAAAUUUAAAGUCAUCGAAAAACCCCAGGCCUGAAGAAAUUAAAAUUAAUCUGGUAAUUUGUCAUGGAUUAGCUGUAUAACUAGUCAGAAAUUUCAGGAAAAAACCAUACAUUU